rnacentral:rRNA from 1 species
UUGGCUUAGAAGCAGCCAUCGUUUAAAGAAAGCGUAAUAGCUCACUGGUCUAAUGACGUUGCGCCGAAAAUGUAACGGGGCUAAGCAUGGUACCGAAGCUUUGAAUUCCGCGUAAGCGGUCUGGUAGGGGAGCGUUCUUCACGGGCAGAAGGUGUGUCGCAAGGCAUGCUGGACUGUGGAGAAGUGAUUAUGCUGACAUGAGUAACGAUAAAACGGGUGAAAAACCCGUUCGCCGUAAACCCAAGGUUUUCCGGGUAAAGGUAAUCUUCCCGGAGUUAGUCGGCCCCUAAGGCGAGGCUGAAAGGCGUAGCUGAUGGGAAACGUGUUAAUAUUCACGUACUUGUGUGUUCGCGCGAUGAAGGGACGCAGGAAGAUAGGCAAGCCGGGCGCUGGUUGUCCCGGUGCAAGCGUGUAGGGAUGAGGAGCUGGCAAAUCCGCUUCUCUCUAUCCUGAGACGCGAGUCCGUGCCCGCAAGGGCUGAAGUUGUCGAGUCUAUGCUGCCUAGAAAAGCUUCUAAGUAUAGGACACGCAAACCGUACCGGAAACCAACUCAGGUGGGUGGGAUGAAUAAUCCAAGGCGCUCGAGAGAACUCUGGCCAAGGAACUCGGCAAAAUAACCCCGUACCUUCGGAAGAAGGGGUGCUUUUUAGGGUGAAACGAUUCACUCUGUCGAGCCCUGAAAAGCCGCAGAGAAAUGGUGGUGGCGACUGUUUACUAAAAACAUAGGUCUGUGCCAAGUCGUAUAGACGACGUAUACGGACUGACGCCUGCCCGGUGCUGGAAGGUUAAAAGGAGGAGUCAGCGCAAGCGAAGCUCCGAAUUGAAGCCCCAGUAAACGGCGGCCGUAACUAUAACGGUCCUAAGGUAGCGAAAUUCCUUGUCGGGUAAGUUCCGACCUGCACGAAUGGCGUAACGAUCUCCACACUGUCUCGGCCAGAGACUCGGUGAAAUUGAAGUCGCGGUGAAAAUGCCGUGUACCCGCAGAAAGACGGAAAGACCCUGUGCACCUUUACUAUAGCUUGACAUUGGGAUUUGAGCCUGCAUGUGUAGCAUAGGUGGGAGCCCGUGAACCCUGUACGCCAGUAUGGGGGGAGGCAACGUUGAAAUACCACCCUUGUUUGUUCAGGUCCCUAACUCCUCGCCGUUAUCCGGUAGGAGGACAGUGUCUGGUGGGUAGUUUGACUGGGGCGGUCGCCUCCCAAAAUGUAACGGAGGCAUGCAAAGGUUCCCUCAGGCUGAUUGGAAACCAGCCGUCGAGUGCAAACGCAGAAGGGAGCUUGACUGCAAGAGAGACAUCUCGAGCAGGUACGAAAGUAGGUGUUAGUGAUCCGGUGAUCCCGAAUGGAAGGGUCAUCGCUCAUUGGAUAAAAGGUACGCCGGGGAUAACAGGCUGAUCGCAUCCAAGAGUUCACAUCGACGAUGCGGUUUGGCACCUCGAUGUCGGCUCAUCACAUCCUGGGGCUGAAGCAGGUCCCAAGGGUACGGCUGUUCGCCGUUUAAAGUGGUACGCGAGCUGGGUUUAAAACGUCGUGAGACAGUUUGGUCCCUAUCUUCUGUGGGCGUAGGAGAAUUGAAAGGGCCUGUCCCUAGUACGAGAGGACCGGGAUGGACACACCACUGGUGGACCUGUUGUCGUGCCAACGGCACAGCAGGGUAGCUAUGUGUGGAAGGGAUAACCGCUGAAAGCAUCUAAGCGGGAAGCCUGCCUUAAGAUAAGUUCUCCCUGACGCAAGUCCUGAAGGGCCGAGGUAGACGACCUCGUCGAUAGGCUGGAGGUGGAAGCCCUGUGAGGGGUGGAGCUGACCAGUACUAAUAGCCCGUGCGUCUUGUUUCU